rnacentral:rRNA from 1 species
GACAACGCUGGCGGCGUGCCUAACACAUGCAAGUCGAGCGGAGAUAGACUGAUGGUAACUGAAGCUUAUCUUAGCGGCGGACGGGUGAGUAACACGUGGGCAACCUGCCUUGGAGUGGGGGAUAACACCGGGAAAUCGGUGCUAAUACCGCAUAACAUACACAAACUGCAUGGUAAGUGUAUCAAAGGAGUAAUCCGCUUUAAGAUGGGCCCGCGGCUGAUUAGCUAGUUGGUAAGGUAACGGCUUACCAAGGCGACGAUCAGUAGCCGACCUGAGAGGGUGACCGGCCACACUGGAACUGAGACACGGUCCAGACUCCUACGGGAGGCAGCAGUGGGGAAUAUUGCGCAAUGGGGGGAACCCUGACGCAGCAACGCCGCGUGGAGGAAGAAGGUCUUCGGAUUGUAAACUCCUGUCUUCUGGGACGAAGUAUGACGGUACCAGAGGAGGAAGCCACGGCUAACUACGUG